rnacentral:misc_RNA from 1 species
UUAAGUUCAGCGGGUAUUCCUACCUGAUCCGAGGUCAACCUUGCGUCGUGUGUCUGUUUCACGGCAGGCGCCCGCCGCGGGCCCUGAGCGAGGCGAAAGCUACUGCGCUCGGGAUCGCGGCGAGCCCGCCACUGGAAUUCGGGGCCUACGGCGCGCGUAGGGUCCCCAACACCAAGCGGGGCUUGAGCGGUCGAAAUGAC